AAAUUCAAUUUACCUGUUUGGUUCCACUACAAAAAUUGAAAUAACUCAAUUUGAUUAAGUUUGCCGACGCCUAAUUAUGGCCACGGGGAGGAUCGCUCUUUUUGUCAAACUAUUCAUCCUCUUUGAAGAACAAGGAGUAUCUCCUCUCGCUCCAAAUUAAAAGCAGAAAGUGAAUCUCGAGCUUGCCUGACCCUUGUCCUUCUUUGCUAUUUAAUCCCCAAAGGAGUUCAUUAUUUUCCCAACGCUUUGGCAGCCGGUCUUCUCCCCUCUUCUCUUCAGUGUAGACAAAUCUAAGGAAUCUGUGCUAAAUGAUCUAACCCGAUGAUACCCCAGGUGAACGAGUCGAUGUCGACUGGAACCAAGAAAAGAAAACGGGAAGCCGAUAAUUCAGUGGAACAAAAAGGAAAAGCCCCCAAUAAACAGACAUCGGGAAAUGAAGCUUCAACUUCCCGACAACAACCAAAACAGAAAGAGACGAAAGAUGAUGGAAACAGAGUGAAAAAUACCCACUCUAAAUUUGCUAGACGGAAAAAGGCGGACAAAAUGACAGAUAUGGAAGUUCUGUUUUGGAAGAACCAGGUGGCCUUUCCUGUCUCGUUACAAACUCCUGCCUCCUUCGAUCAAAUCAGAAACGAUUAGCCAAUGCGUCCUGAUCUUCAAGAAAUUCUCAAAAAGAUGGAGGACAUCAGGGCCAAAUCCGAUAAUGAUGUGACAUUGGAUGAACUAAAUCGGGAGUUAGAUUCAUUAGGGAAACAACGAAAGGUACACUAAUGAUUACAAAUCUAAUUACUAAGUUUGCCUUCAUGAUCUAAAUCUCCAAUUUAACUUCCUAAAUUGAUACAUGUUGAACUUGGCCAUACCACUGCUCAAGUUCUAGUUUGUGCUGCAAUAAAAGAAAUGGAAGGUUUUUCAGUUGAGAAAUUGGACAUGGAGACGUUGAAAAAAUGGGGCGCGACACUCAACAACGCCAAGGAACUUGGUUUUCAGGUGGGAUUUGCUGAUGAUUUGUUAAGGAAGAAUUUGUAUGCCUACUUUGCUUACAAAACAAUCUUAGACGAGGCUAAAGGAGAUUUGAGAAAUUAAAGGUGGCUUAGCUCGCAUGGUUGCGAAUCAAAGGGUGUUUUCCAUUUGCAGCAAAAUUCACUGAACUUAUUUGGUUUGAUAGACUUUGGGUUUCUAUAUUUACUUUUAUCUAUUUGAACUAUAUGGUUUUGGGUGUCUUGCAUGGACUUGGUGUUUUGCAAUAUAAUUUAUACUAUAUAGUUUUUGAGACA